GGCGGUGUAGCUCAGUUGGUUAGAGCACACGGUUCAUACCCGUGGCGUCACUGGUUCGAAUCCAGUCACCGCUA
rfam:Denitrobacterium detoxificans strain NPOH1, complete genome.